AUUGUCUAAAAUAUACAUAAAAUAAAUAGCAGUAAUAAUUCAUUAGCACAAAAUAAAGUAAGAAAUACAUAUUAAAAGGAUGUAUAUCAUAACCACAUUUAUUUAAGAAUGUAUUCCAAUAUCAAACGGCAAAGAUUAACAAUGCAAGACUGAAAUUAUUUUUCCACCAACCUAAUAUCUCACUGUGGUUUUAAUUUGCAUUUCCCUGAUUAGCAAUGGUGAACAUCUUUUUAUGUACUUGUUAGCCAAUUGAAUAUCUUCUUUGGAAAAAAAUUCUAUAUUCAGAUCCUUUGCUAAUUUUAUAAAAUUUAUUUUUUGUACUGAAUUGUAUUUGAGUUCCUUAGACAUUUUGGAUCAUAACCCUGAAUCAGAUAUAAGGUUUACAAGUAUUAUCUCUCAUCUAUGAGUCACCUUCUCAUUUUGUGGAUCAUUUCUUUUUCUAUGCAUAGUCUUUUUUGUUUGAAUUAGUCCCCCUUGUUUAUUUUUUAAUUUUGUUGCUUAUGCUUAUGGUGUUAAUUUUAAAAAAUCAUUGCCAGGAUCUGUAUUAAGAAAAUUUCUACCAUGUUUUCUUCUAGGAAAUUUCUGGUUUCAGGUCAUACAUCAAAGUCUUUAAUCCAUUCCCAGUUAAUUUUUGUAGUGAAAUAAGAUUGGGGUCUAUUUUUAUUCUUUUGCAUGAGAAUAUUCAUUUCUUCAGGAAGAUUUAAAAGACUAUCUUUUUCCAUUGAGUAUUUUUGGCUCCAUUGUGAAAUAUUAGUUGACCAUAUAUACAUGAGUUUAUUUCUGGGAUUCUGAUUGUGUUCUGUUGGUUCAUGUGUCUGUUUUUAUACCUGUAUCAUAUGACCUUGAUUAGUGUAGUUUUAUACUAUUACUUGAAAUCAGAAAGUGUGAUGCCUGUGGGUUAUUCUUUUUUCUCAGGAAUUCUUUGUCUAUUGGGGUCUUUUUCAAUUUUAUAUGAAUUUCAACAUUGUUUUAUUUAUUGAUUUUUUGACAAAAGUAUCUAUAAUAAUAUACCAUUACUAAAAAAAAAACAAAAAACAAAAAACACCUCAUUUCUCAAAAAUUAAAAUUUUCCUUGAUAGUUGCAACAUCUUGUUUUAUAGCCAUUUCCUUUUUCCAUUUUUUGAGUAUCUGUUCUAAAUUUCCUGUAAGGAAUUAUUUCUUCAACAACUCACAAACAACAUGAAAGCUUUUAAUGAAGUAUGCUGCCAAGAAAUAUGAAAUAAGUUCAAAAGGCAUAUGACCUGAUCAAGGUUGACUUGUUGCAUUGAGACAUUUUCCUGAAAUUUUGUGACAGAAAUAGGUGCUGUUUCUCUAGUCUUUACCCUAAAAAAUGUGGGGGGAAACUGCUGCAUACAUUGCUCACUCAUGUUUAGAGUCCAAGAUACAAGAGGCAAAACUGAAAACAGAUAACUUAAAAUCUCAUCCUAGUGACAUUUUCUGAGCCAUGGACCAACCAGUGACUGAUCUAUACCUGGAUCUAAGUUCUUUACUUCUGGUUCCAGCAGUUUGGUACUCAGUUUUGGAGCCUCUUUUAUAGUGAAGCAUUAAUAAUGAGAUAAGAUUCUGAUUCUCUCCUAGCUCUUUCUCUCUAUUCUCCCCUAAAAUAUUCUUUGAGAAAUAUAUCAUUAAUGUGAGAAAGAAGAAUGAAGUCUUGUAAAAUAGAAGAAAAACAUUUAUUUUACUCUCAUAAAUUUAAAAAUGCUAUUAGAUAUAGAUUGGCAUUUAGGAUCAGUUUAGAAUCUUCAUUAUAUAAUGUAUUCUAAGUAUAUCUUUCAAAUUUAAAGAUAUAAAUUAUAAUUUAUAUAAUAUUAAAAUAUGUGCCAAUAUGUUCUAAUAAUUGAGGAAGAAACAAGUAAGAUGACAUCUGGUUCAAAAAAUAUUUUGAGGAACUAUAAACAUCUUGGAGAAAAAAGAGUGCAAAGAUAAUAUUAUUAGGGUAUAUACAAAAAUAGUCAAUGUCUAAUAGGGCAAUAAAUCAUAAUUUAAGGGAUUUUUUUUCUACCAGACAGAAAUAUGCAAGUUAACAUUUUAACUUCACAGUGUCUAAACACAAAAAUCUGCAUGAAAUCAAUAAUAAAUACAAAAUAAAACAUGGGUGCACUUUUCUAUAGAUGUAAAAUAUCUUUCAAUCAUUCAUUCUUCAACAAAUGCCCCAGCAUAGUAUCAAAAGUGGUAUGUGCUUUUGGAAAUGGGGGAAAUGUGUUUCCAAAUUUGAAAUAUUUUCUCACAAUUUCUUUAUCCAGAUCAAUUAUAUCAAUAAUUGAUAUAGUUUUUAGUUUUCCUACUAUACUGUCUUCAUUUCAAUAAGAUGCUUGAAGCACAGUGGAUUACUAAGGAGUAGAGAUUUAACAAAAAAAAAAGUAUCUUGAUAUGAAAUAAAGCAAAUCAAUGACAUGAUCCCACAAUUCUACUCCUAGGUCUAUAACCAAGAAAAAUGAACCCAUUUUCCCACACGAAACACAUACAUGAAUGCUCAUAGCUGCCUUAUUCUUAGUAGCCAAAUAAGAAAACAACUCAAAUCUUUAUCAACUGAUGCUGCUGCUGCUGCUGCUGCUGCUGCUAAGUCCCGUCAGUCGUGUCCGACUCUGUGCGACCCCAUAGACGGCAGCCCACCAGGCUCCCCCGUCCCUGGGAUUCUCCAGGCAAGAACACUGGAGUGGGUUGCCAUUUCCUUCUCCAAUCAACUGAUGAGUGGAUGAAAAAAAAUGCACAAUAUCCUUGCAAAAAUAGUAUUCAGGAACAAAAAGUAAUGAAAUAUUGAUACAUCUGGCCACACUAUGGACCUUGAAAAUGUUAUGCUAAGUGAAAGCAGCACAAAAGAUCAUAGUGUAUGCUUUCAUUUAUAUUAAGUGAAACAAGGUUUUUCUGAAAUAGGAAAAGAGAGAGAAAGUAGAAUAGUGGUUGUCAGGGGCUGGGAAGAGGAAGAAAUGGGGAAUGGCCAUCAAUGAAUACAGGAUUUCUUUGGGGAGUAAUGAAAUUUUCUAAAAUGUAAUGCUGGUGAUGGUUUCAUGGUGUUAUAAAUAUACAAAAAGCUAUAGAGCUGUUUAGAUAAAAGGAAUAAUUGCAUGAUAUUUAAAUUAUAUCCUAAUAAAACCCUCAUAGGCUUAAGGGCAUGGGAGUAAAACAUUUCACAAAGAGAAUAAAUUAUACCCUUGGCUGACACCAGUAAGGCUCCAAAAUGCAAUAUAUACUGAGUCUGAAAUUGGAUUUUGAAUUUUGACAUUACCAGAAUCAAAUCACUAAACUACAGAGUUUUGCUUAUGAUCUCUUAUGUAUAUAGAUUUUCUUGACAGAUCAAAAUUCUCAUAUUUUCUAAUUAAAACUUUAGCACACUUGGAACACCAAGGAAAAUAUUCAAAAAACCUUAUGGUGAGAAACCAGAGAGCUACGGUUUCCUCCUCUCAGUGACACAGAAUGCAUAUUUCAAAAAGACCAACUCUGAGUAAGGUUCCUUACACCACAGUAGUUAUACAGAAUUCAGAAAUGAAGCUCAGGCUCCAAACUAAGGAAAGUGAUUUAAUUCAGAGUCACUUACUUGCAUUCUUGUUCUGUGAAUAUUCACUUGCUUUCCACUUUGUUUGGAAGAGAACCCUUCUGUACUGUUUGUCAGCAAAUAUGUCAAAAGAGCAAAUAUUUAGCCACCAGAUUAUGAUGCAAUGCUCUAUUUUCACAAAAGGGGACAAAGCCUUAGGAAACAGAAACUUUCAUUUUGUAUAAAAUAAAUCAUUUUAAAAUUUUUAUUGUAAGAUUUCCUUUCUGGAUAGGAUGUAAUUAGUUGUGGCAGCACACUCCCAAACACCAGGAAAGAAAAAUAAAAGAGUCAAUUACAAAAGUCAUUAUUAAAGUUUUCAGAAGCUUUUGGAGUGAUGAGGAUCAGAUAAAUUGGAAUUCCAGAAGAGAAGGAGACUCUAGCAUAGCGGGCUGAGGAUCACUGAUUGAGUUUCUUGUUCAUUGCUAGAAGCACGUGCUGAUUCUGAGCAUGGAGUGGGGCUUGGGUUUAGCUCAAAUAGAGAGAAAGCAGCGGCUUUUGGUUUGUUCCAUGCUUAAAUCAGUGUUUGUUUCUUCAUACUCUCAGUGUUGUGCACUCUUGGUGGGGGAAGAACUAUUGAUUUUUCAUGAGUUGCCUAAAACUAAUAUUGGUUCUUUAAAGACUUUACUCAGAAAAUUUGAUGGCAAUACAUGUAUCACUUAUCAUAUCAGAUUCUUUUCCCUCUAUCAUCUUUCAUUUUUGUUCAGGAAAACCUACCACAUUAUGUGAGAUUAUGGGAAAAAGCUGAAAAGUGGUUGAUUUGAACAGAAUUUUGAAUUUCCAUACCCUUACUUAACUUAACAUUGAAUUUGUUGGAGGACUGCAAUACAAGUCUGCAAAGCCCCUGCCUAAGGUUCUGUGGAGAUACACAGGAAAGAAACCAGAAAUUUAGGAGCCAAUACCCAGCUAUAUGAAUGGAUUCUACAGAAUGAUCUUCUUGAAUACUGCAGCACUCUUUUGACUGUCUGUAUUCAUUCUCUCCCACCUCUCUGCACUCACCCCACAGCCAUCCCAAAACCAGAGCUUUUAUCACUCACUGUGGAACCAAUGGGAUCUAUGAAGCUGUUUACCAUGGGUCCCUAUGGUGGGAAUUCCCUUGUUGAGUGAUCAGCUUGAUAAUGUUUCUUGAGUAAAAGCCAAAGGGACAGCUGUUGAAUUAGACUUGCAUAGAAUGAUGAGUUCUGAUCUGCUUAAUGCUUUGAAUGAAGUUAUUAACAACCUUAUGUGAGUAUAGGAUGUAUGCUUUUCUGAGAAGCAUCAGUAUUUUAAAAGGAGUAAUUCAUUUCAUUCAGUUAAAUUUAGUACUUUUACAUAAUCUCCAGGACAUGGCUAAAAUCAAAUGGAAUUGUCUGGUAUGUCUCAACUUCUAUGAAAGCAUUUAGAUUCACUACUGUUACUGGAUAUUAGAUUCCAACCUCAAAGAAAUUUAUUGAAAGAAACUUAGCUAUUUUUAAAGGAACAUAUUUUUUCAUUGUUAAUAUUUAUUUUUUAAAAGAUAUUACCAUUGUAAAGAAUUUAGGUAAUAUGACAAAAAUAUAGAAAAAUAAAAAUGAAAAAAAGUCACUUAACACACCUCAUGUAGUUAUAACCAAUUACCAGUAUAGAAAUAUUAAUUUAGAUAUUUUUGUGCUAGUUUAUAAGUAGAAAAUAAAAAGGAAAUAAUUAUAAAAAUGGAAUAAUGCUACUUAAUAAUUAUUUAAAAUAUUCUAUAUUGACAUAUUUAAAUUAAAGGAAGAGAAAGUUCAUGAAGUAAAAUGGAGAGAUACAAAUGGAAACGUAGACUAACCCAGCCUCAUUAUUCCGUAAGGUCAAUAAUUAGUGGCUAUCCAUGAACAAAAACAUCUUUGAGAGAUCUAAAGUCCACUUAUGAUAUUUCAGCAACACUGUGGAACAAAAAAAAAAAAAAAAAAGCAAAAAACACAAACAAACCUGAGAAUAGUCACACAGUUCAGAAUGAAGAAGACAGCUUGCUCAUGGCUGCAUCAUCAUAUUCUCAAGCCAGCAUUGCUUAGCUCCAAGAGAGAACUUCACAGCUAGGAAGAGUUCUUCUAGGAACCUAGCAGGGAAGAGUGAGUUGAAUGACCAGCUUUUAAAGCCUUUUGGGGCACAUAAAUGGAAAAAAAAAGAAAAAAAAACCUAAAUAUUUAUGAAGUCACAAAGAACUGAAAUAGCCACAGGAGUCCUGAGAAAUAAGAAUGAAGCUGGAAGCAUGCCACCUCUUAUUUUAAACUCUAUUACAAAACUAUAGAAAAUUUUAAAAUACGGUAUUAUCAUAAAAAACACAUAGAUG